rnacentral:rRNA from 1 species
ACUGAACGCUGGCGGCAGGCCUAACACAUGCAAGUCGAGCGGAAGAAGGGUGCUUGUUUCUGGAUUCAGCGGGGGACGGGUGUGUAAUGCCCAGGAAUCUGCCUGGCAGCGGGGGAUAACGUCCGGAAACGGGUGCUAAUACCGCAGACGUCGUGAGGGAGAAAGUGGGUGAUCCUCGGACUUCUCGCUAGCAGAUGAGCCUAGGUCGGAUUAGCUAGUUGGUGGGGUAAAGAACUGCCAAGGCGACGAUCCUUAACUGGUCUGAGAGGAUGAUCGGUCACACGGGAGCUGAGACACGGUCCAGACUCCUACGGGAGGCAGCAGUGGGGAAUAUUGGACAAUGGGCGAAAGCCUGAUCCAGCCAUGCCGCGUGUGUGAAGAAGGUCUUCGGAUUGUAAAGCCCUUUAAGUUGGGAGGAAGGGCAGUAGGUUGAUACCUUGCUGUUUUGACGUUACCGACAGAAUAAGCACCGGCUAACUUCGUG